AGUUAUACUUUAUUGUUUGCCUUCUUCGCAUGCUUUUGGUAGCUGGCUGACUUCAGAAGUGAAGUACUGAUUUUUGUAGACCUAAGGCACUCUAAGGUAUUUACACGUGACAGAUAAGAAGAAACUCAUGCUGGCCGCAUGCUGGUGCAUCCUGGGUUAUGGUAAAUGCUUCUCAGCAAAGCAGGAAUUACAUUAGCUGUUUCUAUAUUACAGGUCAAACUCUGUACCCCCUAUGGCUUCUUCUUGCAGGAGCUGAAAAGCUUAAUGUAUUUCAGUAAUUAAUUCUAGGCUACUGAAAUAAGGCUACUGGUCCUUCUGAGAGAGUGCUGCAAAAACAUCAUCUCACUCUUUUCUGAUAGGAGAUUACACAUGAGUAUCAGUUUACCAGGGAGUGAAGAACUGGAAAGAGCAGCAAGCUUCACCAGUCUUAUUCCUUAGUUCAACAGGAAAUUCUUCUAGCUGCCACCUUAAACUGUGGAAAUAUUCCCUUAGUGCUUCUGGAGUCGAACACUUUCCAGUGCUUCACUGUUAAAGACACUGGAUGUUCUCAUGCUUAAGAUGUGAAUGGUGGUGCUGCCUUUCACUACAUUACAGUACUUACAGGGUAUAUCCUCUUAAGAUGGGUAAUCCGAAGAGCUCAGUUUUUGGAGUGUGCUGUCUGAACAUGUUUGACAUGAAAGACCAUGCUUGAGACUGGGAACUUUGGUAUCAUCUUCUUCAUUUAAAGGCUGUAGGAACCCAUGUUACUGCAACUUUGGGAAACUUUUUUAUAGUUUCGGGUCUGGCAUCCUCUAGGAAAAAUUAGUUAUUAGAAGUGAUUGUGUACUCACAGCAGGAUAUUAUGGCUAUAUCUGUACUGCAGAUAAUUAAAUACAUUUAUAAUAUUAAAUGUAAGUUAAUGAGUUAAGCACGGUGGUAAUGUUUGAUCAUGUUUUUAGGCAAGUAAAUAAAGCAAUCCUGCUGCACAUGCUUUGACAGCAAUCUAACAAGCUAAACAAGUAGUUUAGUAUAUUUAAAAAAAAAUAAAAAUCAAAAAACAAAA